GGACCCAUAAAGCUGACAUCCAGGCCCCUGGAACCUCAACCAGUUCAGUUACAAACUCCUGCAUCACAGUGGGCUUUGUGAUGUCCAAAGGGAUGAACCAUCUCUGGCUGUUGCUGUUACCCUUUGGAGGAGAGAACCUCUGACUGAAGCUGAUGCUGGAUUUGAAGAUAUGCUCCAGAAAAGGGUUUGGAAUCCACUGUUUUGUGACCAGCAGGUACCACCAGCACAGUCAGAUAGAUGAUCUCACUAUGCUGCCUGGACUAGCCAAGGAUUUGCUGUAUAGACUGAGGUUACCUUGAGAUUCACCUGCCUCUGCUUCCUGAAUGAGAACCUGGCCUGGAACAAUGAUAGAAAACUUACUAGCCAAGGAGAUACCUCUGGAGAGAGGCCAGCUGAAAUCUACUUUGAAGUAGGACAAAUGACUCUUAAAAGUCACACCUACCCCCAAGCCCCCAGUUUCCAGAUGUGGAACCUGCCCAUAGCUGAUGCCUAGGACAAUGGAGAUUACAAAGAAAAAAG